rnacentral:rRNA from 1 species
GGAAGAUAACCCGGGGAAGUGAAACAUCUAAGUACCCGGAGGAACAGAAAGAGUAAUCGAUUCCCUAAGUAGCGGCGAGCGAACCGGGAAGAGCCUAAACCUGUCUGCAUGUAUAAGCCUGCAAGCGUUGUGCAGCGGGGGUAGUGGGAUGCAAUGUUGACUGAUUGCAGUUAGUCAGAGGAGUCAGAAAGUUGAUUGAUAGCAGAAUCAUCUGGAAAGUUGAGCCAUAGCGGGUGAUAGCCCCGUAAGCGAAAUGAAUCAACCUCCUUAUUAGUAUUCCCGAGUACUGCGGGACACGAGAAAUCCUGUGGGAAUCUGUGCCGACCACGGCAUAAGGCUAAAUAUGCUUCUGUGACCGAUAGUGAACCAGUACCGUGAGGG